AAGCGCUGGUGCGGAACAAGAGAUCGGAGACGAAACAGGGACGAUUUUGAAUGGUGAUGGAAUAGUUACGUGAAGCUUUGAAGAAAGCUUAGGUGAGUUUGGUAAAUCUGAUGAUGCCAUCUUCCUCUUCCAAUCCAUAUCAACCAUUUCUUUUUUUUGUGAAUGUGUUUAUUUUUUUUUAUUGUGUGUUAAAAUUUUGAAUUUGAUAUUUUUUCAGAUGAAUGUAUUUAGGAUACGAGGAGAGUAUUUAUAGAGAGAAAUGUGGAUAGAGAGAAAAAGCGUGUGGAGUUAUACCGACGCGACUAAUUUGAAAGUCAGCGUAGAGACGCGGUCUUCUUUAAAAAAAAAAAAUUUGGGAACACCAACGAGUCGUGGGACUGUGGAUUAAUUUCAGGAUAAUCUUUUUCUUUUCUUUUUUUUUUUGGCUUUAUACGGAUAAAGUUAAUCUAUAUAAUUAGUGAUUAGAUAAUUCAAUUUAUUGCUUUUUUUGUACUGUUUUCCAUUAAAGGUAAACUGUAUGAUUAGUCGAAUGUUCAGUAAUCAGAGCUCUAGAUAAAUAUCGAAUUUUUUCUCGUUUUGGUAAGAGCUUGUCCUUUCAAGGAAAGAAAGGAGGGAGUAUAUUGUCGUUUAAAUAAAUGUUUUAUUUGAUGAUCGAUAAGAAUAUAAAAUGUUCUGCAA
rnacentral:lncRNA from 1 species